rnacentral:rRNA from 1 species
CAUGAACGCUGGCGGCGUGCUUAACACAUGCAAGUCGAACGGAAAGGCUCCUGCUUGCAGGGGUACUCGAGUGGCGAACGGGUGAGUAACACGUGGGUGAUCUGCCCUGCACUUCGGGAUAAGCCUGGGAAACUGGGUCUAAUACCGGAUAGGACGAUGGUUUGGAUGCCAUUGUGGAAAGUUUUUCGGUGUGGGAUGAGCUCGCGGCCUAUCAGCUUGUUGGUGGGGUAAUGGCCUACCAAGGCGUCGACGGGUAGCCGGCCUGAGAGGGUGUACGGCCACAUUGGGACUGAGAUACGGCCCAGACUCCUACGGGAGGCAGCAGUGGGGAAUAUUGCACAAUGGGCGCAAGCCUGAUGCAGCGACGCCGCGUGGGGGAUGACGGCCUUCGGGUUGUAAACUCCUUUCGCUAGGGACGAAGCGCAAGUGACGGUACCUGGAGAAGAAGCACCGGCUAACUACGUG